GCAGAUGUGGUCCAGUGGUAAGACGCCGGCUUCGAAAGCCGGUGCGCGUAAGCGUUCGGGGGUUCAAGUCCCUCCAUCUGCG
rnacentral:tRNA from 1 species